AUUGAACGCUGGCGGCAUGCCUUACACAUGCAAGUCGAACGGCAGCACGGGUGCUUGCACCUGGUGGCGAGUGGCGAACGGGUGAGUAAUACAUCGGAACGUACCUUAUCGUGGGGGAUAACGCAGCGAAAGCUGUGCUAAUACCGCAUACGCCCUGAGGGGGAAAGCGGGGGAUCGCAAGACCUCGCGCGAUUAGAGCGGCCGAUGCCUGAUUAGCUUGUUGGUGGGGUAAAAGCCCACCAAGGCGACGAUCAGUAGCUGGUCUGAGAGGACGAUCGGCCACACGGGGACUGAGAUACGGCCCAGUCUCCGACGGGAGGCAGCAGUGGGGUAAUUUGGACAAAAGGGGCAACCCUGAUCCAGCAAUGCCGCGAGAGUGAAGAAGGCCUUGGGGUUGUAAAGCGCUUUUGUCAGGGAAGAAACACCGGCUCUAACACAGUCCGGGAAUGACGGUACCUGAAGAAUAAGCACCGGCUAACUACGUGCCAGCAGCCGCCGUAA
rnacentral:rRNA from 1 species